AUUUGAUGUUGGGGACAAUUGGUAAACAAUUUCUUGAAUCUCUCCCAAUAUUCAUAGAGAGAUUCUCCCGAGUUAUGCUUAAUUCCGCAGAUCUCUUUCCGUAAGCU